AAGGUGGGUGUAUGAACUUCUGGAGCACUGGAGGCUGAAGAUGCAGCCGGAGAAACUGCCCGAGCGUUGUCUCGUCCGUCUUCUGAUGCUGUGCCUGGUUCCCAGCAACAUUGUGGUUGUGAGGUGGAAAAGGAACCAUCAUCCUCCAGCUGUUAAUAUUAGUGACGGAAAUAUUGUUAGGUUGUUCUAAAAGGAGUCGGCACCUCAAGUUCAUAGCCUGCAAGUUCUGCGGCCAGGCGGUGUCUCAUCCACCUCCUGAUGCUGUGCCUGGUUCCCAGCAACAUUGUGGUUGUGAGGUGGAAAAGGAACCGUCAUCAUUAACAUUAACACACCACCUGCUAAUGAUAAUGCAGAUGCCUUCACACACACACACACACACACACACA